UAUACUUUUGACUAUACGGUCCGAGUCCAGGAUUUACGGGAAAUCGCAGGUUUUCGUUUACCGGCGAUUAAACUUCUUUUAUUCAGCGUCUCAUCAAAAAUGAAAACAUUUUUAAAAACUACAAGUCUCAUGCGUUUUAGUGGUGAAAAAUAAUUUAAAAAAUCGUUCGGGAAAUGAGUUUACUCCCUGGGUACUUUCUUUGUAUACUUUUGACUAUACGGACCGAGUCCGGGAUUUACUACGGGAAAUCGCAGGUUUUCGUUUACCGGCGAUUAAACUUCUUUUAUUCAGCGUCUCAUCAAAAAUGAAAACAUUUUUAAAAACUACAAGUCUCAUGCGUUUUAGUGGUGAAAAAUAAUUUAAAAAAUCGUUCGGGAAAUGAGUUUACUCCCUGGGUACUUUCUUUGUAUACUUUUGACUAUACGGACCGAGUCCGGGAUUUACUACGGGAAAUCGCAGGUUUUCGUUUACCGGCGAUUAAACUUCUUUUAUUCAGCGUCUCAUCAAAAAUGAAAACAUUUUUAAAAACUACAAGUCUCAUGCGUUUUAGUGGUGAAAAAUAAUUUAAAAAAUCGUUCGGGAAAUGAGUUUACUCCCUGGGUACUUUCUUUGUAUACUUUUGACUAUACGGACCGAGUCCGGGAUUUACUACGGGAAAUCGCAGGUUUUCGUUUACCGGCGAUUAAACUUCUUUUAUUCAGCGUCUCAUCAAAAAUGAAAACAUUUUUAAAAACUACAAGUCUCAUGCGUUUUAGUGGUGAAAAAUAAUUUAAAAAAUCGUUCGGGAAA